rnacentral:rRNA from 1 species
AUUGAACGCUGGCGGAAUGCUUUACACAUGCAAGUCGAACGAUGAACCUUAGCUUGCUAAGGGGACUAGUGGCGAACGGGUGAGUAAUAUAUCGGAACGUGCCUUGUAAUGGGGGAUAACUAGUCGAAAGAUUAGCUAAUACCGCAUACGCCCUGAGGGGGAAAGUAGGGGAUCUUCGGACCUUACGUUAUAAGAGCGGCCGAUAUCUGAUUAGCUAGUUGGUGGGGUAAUGGCCUACCAAGGCGACGAUCAGUAGCUGGUCUGAGAGGACGACCAGCCACACUGGAACUGAGACACGGUCCAGACUCCUACGGGAGGCAGCAGUGGGGAAUUUUGGACAAUGGGCGCAAGCCUGAUCCAGCCAUUCCGCGUGAGUGAAGAAGGCCUUCGGGUUGUAAAGCUCUUUCGCAAGGGAAGAAAACUUACCAUCGAAUAAAUGGUGAGGCUGACGGUACCUUGAUAAGAAGCACCGGCUAACUACGUG